ensembl:lncRNA
GCUUGCAACUCCUUGCGUCAAGGUCCUUUCCUUUGGGAUAUCAGUUAAUCUAGGUAACAGCAGUAUGGCACUCAAUACUCUCAGACACUCCCCCGCAGGCUGUUUCCUCAGUGAUGUCACAGUGAUGUCACAGACCUAGGCAUGUGUUCACAAGGCUCAGAAAAGGGAGGGAAGUAAACUGGCUGUGACUCUCGAAAUUACAUCAGGUGGGAUCCUGCAACUGCACAGGGUUCCCGUGGGGAAACGACUGCUGUGGGACAUCAGACCCCAAUUCCAGAUCGGCCUGAUAAUCUAUGUGAGCUUGCUUCUGCUAACUCCAAAUAUCCAGCAUCUGCCAUUUAACCCUCAAGACAAUGCCUUCCUGUCCUGGGAUCACUUCUAUGCUGCAUUUCACAGUCUAAUUACUGGGUCUCUGGAGUACUCCAUUCUUACUCAGUGGAAGGCUUCCAUGGUGGGCAUCUCCACUUGAAGGAAAGGACUUUCUCCAAGUCUGCAAAUCUUUCUACAAGGACAAUCAUAUGUGAUGCCUCUUCUUAAUAUGAUGACAUCUAACAAUCCUAAGAUGGACUGGUGCAACACUUUGUACCUUAACUAUGGGCACUAUGAGACUUUUAACUUUGCUGAUUGUUCUGUUUUUGCUGUUUGCUCCCUGCAUCUGUAAGUGUGUGGCUGGAUUUGUUUCUAGCUGCAUGAAGGAUUUUAAGUGACAAAUGGUUGCUCAAACUCCUGCCACUGUGGCAGCUUCCUCCAACUACUACUUGGGGCCCCUGGAUCAGAGACCCUCAAUAUGAGGGUUAGGAGAAUAUGUUGCCUCACUAAUUUAGGGACGAUGCCCCUUAUCAGCUUGGAAGCAGUUACAGAAUGAGAACAGUGCUCCUUUCCCUAGGAAACAUAAUUCUCCUAAAAGAAAAGGGAGGAAAAAGAGGGUAACAGGCAGAAAGGCUCAGUUCAGUUCAGUUCAGUUCAGUCGCUCAGUCGUGUCUGACUCUGCAACCCCAUGAAUUGCAGCACACCAGGCCUCCCUGUCCACCAUCAACUCCCGGAGUUCACUCAAACUCAUGUUCUUCGAGUUGGUGACGCCAUCCAGCCACCUCAUCCUCUGUUGUCCCCUUCUCCUCCUGCCCCCAAUCCCUCCCAGCAACAGAGGCUUUUCCAAUGAGUCACCUCUUCACAUGAGGUGGCCAAAGUAUUGGAGUUUCAGCUUCAGCAUCAGUCCUUCCAAUGAACACCCAGGACUGAUCUCCUUUAGAAUGGACUGCUUGGAUCUCCUUGCAGUCCAAGGGAUUCUCAAGAGUCAUAGUCUGCAAAUGUCAGACAUUUUUUAUCUCUCUCUCAAGUGGCAGGAGGAAACAAACUACAAGUGUCAGAUUUCUUUUCCCUUCUCUAUACAAAAUUAAAAAUGCUUCCUCUUAAAAUUCUAUGUUGCCAUGAUGACACCUGGUUCCACCUGAAUUUAACUUUUCUCAAAUCUUGAGCCAACCAAUGCAUUUUUCUUACAGAAAUGUUUUUCUUAAGCUAUGUUAAUGAACUAUGUAUUUAACCCCUAGACUCCCUGUUUCUUCAAGUCGGUUUCACCUAAGACGCAGAACCAAUAAUGACUCAACAAACCAGUAUGUUUUACUCAUACAAUUGUUCUCUUAAUCUAUGUUAAUGAGACUAUAUAUUUGAUUGGAAACCUGCCUUUCUUCAUGCCAAUCAUUU